rnacentral:misc_RNA from 1 species
GCAAACUUGGUCAUUUAGAGGAAGUAAAAGUCGUAACAAGGUUUCCGUAGGUGAACCUGCGGAAGGAUCAUUAUCGAGUUAGGGUCCUCUGGGCCCGACCUCCACCCCUUUGUCUACCUUACCUCUUGUUGCUUCGGCGGGCCCGUCCACCCCCUGCGAAGGGGAAGACCGCCGGAGGGCUCCUGCCCUCUGGCCCGCGCCUGCCGGUGGCCUCCAAACCAAAUAUUCUUGUCCAAAUUGUGUCGUCUGAGUAAAGAAAUCAAUAAUCAAAAACUUUCAACAACGGAUCUCUUGGUUCUGGCAUCGAUGAAGAACGCAGC